rnacentral:rRNA from 1 species
AUUGAACGCUGGCGGCAGGCCUAACACAUGCAAGUCGAGCGAGCGGCGGACGGGUGAGUAAUGUCUGGGAAACUGCCUGAUGGAGGGGGAUAACUCCUGGAAACGGUAGCUAAUACCGCAUACCAUCAGAUGUGCCCAGAGGGGAUUAGCUAGUAGGUGGGGUAACGGCUCACCUAGGCGACGAUCCCUAGCUGGUCUGAGAGGAUGACCAGCCACACGGGAACUGAGACACGGUCCAGACUCCGACGGGAGGCAGCAGUGGGGAAUAUGGCACAAGGGGCGCAAGCCUGAUGCAGCCAUGCCGCGGGUAGGAAGAAGGCCUUCGGGUUGUAAAGUCCUUUCAGCGGGGAGGCGUUACCCGCAGAAGAAGCACCGGCUAACUCCGGGCCAGCCGCCGCGGUAAUAC